ACUUUAAUUGAAGAGUUUGAUCAUGGCUCAGAUUGAACGCUGGCGGCAGGCCUAACACAUGCAAGUCGAGCGGUAACAGAAAGAAAGCUUGCUUUCUUUGCUGACGAGCGGCGGACGGGUGAGUAAUGCCUGGGAAUAU
rnacentral:rRNA from 1 species